UACGAAGGGGGCUAGCGUUGCUCGGAAUGACUGGGCGUAAAGGGCGCGUAGGCGGUUUGUACAGUCAGAUGUGAAAUUCCUGGGCUUAACCUGGGGGCUGCAUUUGAUACGUGCAGACUUGAGUGAGGAAGAGGGUUGUGGAAUUCCCAGUGUAGAGGUGAAAUUCGUAGAUAUUGGGAAGAACACCGGUGGCGAAGGCGGCAACCUGGUCCUUGACUGACGCUGAGGCGCGAAAGCGUGGGGAGCAAACAGG
rnacentral:rRNA from 1 species